GCGCGAAAACUUUACAAUGCUGGCAACAGCGAUAAGGGAACCUCGAGUGCCAGGUUACAAAUCUGGCUGUCGAGAUGCCUAAAAAGCAUUUCAUAGCAAGGGCCGGGCAAGACCGGUGCCAGCCGCCGCGGUAACACCGGCGGCUCGAGUGGUAACCGUUAUUAUUGGGUCUAAAGGGUCUGUAGCCGGCCGGAUAAGUCUCUUGAGAAAUCUGGCAGCUUAACUGUCAGGCUUUCAGGAGAUACUGUCU
rnacentral:rRNA from 1 species